ensembl:lncRNA
GGACUGUAAGUCGCCAGCCCCUGAGAACCACUGCUUUUCUUCCUGAGCUCUUCCCACACGCCCACACUUCCUUCUUCCCUACGAUUGGCUGACUUCUCAUUUGCAUAGCUCUGUCCGUGUGCACGCAGGCCAUCCGGGCUUGCGCUCCUUUUUUAUUACAGCUUGCCCAAUAAUCCUUUUGUAUGAUCACACUGCAUUUGAUUUACUCAUCAAUUUAUCUAUAGGUACCUGACUUCUUCUUUCUCACUUCUGUAAAUACAGCAGGAUGAUAUUCCAUUGUAUGACUAUACCAUGCUCACACAUCCAUCCAUCAGUUAACGGGCACAGAGGCUGCUCCCACUCUCUGGCUACCAUGAAGAGCAGCUAUGAACAUGGAUACGUAAGCAUCUGUGUGAUGGGGUAUCCGUUGGGUAUAUGCCAAGGUUGGCAUAGCUGGGCCAUAUGGUAGACCUAUCAUUUCUAGGCUUUUGAGGAAUCCCCACACUGAUUUCCAUGUAGCUACACCAGUUUAUAGCCCCACCUGUGAAUAAGUACCCCCCUUCCCCCAAAUCUAUACCACCGUUUAUUGACUUUUUUGAAAAUUUUUGAGUUAUCUUUGACUGGGGUUAAAUGAAAUCUCAAAGUGGUAUUAUUUUCAUUUCCCCCCGAUGUGAUUGAUCUUGAAGAUUUUAAAAAUUAUUUCUCGGCAAUUUGUAUUUCUCCUUUUAAAAACCCUCUGCUUAGUUCCACAUUCCAGACUUAAAUUGCAUUGGGUUUUGGCUUUUUGUCUUGUUUUAGUUCUUUGUACAUUUUAGACAUUAACCCCCAGCCGGAUGUAUAGCCGGUAAAGUUUUUUUCUUAUAGGCUGUCUCGUCACUCAUAGAGUGGUGUGUUUUGCUAUAUAGACACUUUUUAGUUCCAUUGAUCCCUUUUUACCAAUUAUUGGUCCUAAUGUCUAUCCUACUGGGGUCCUGUUUGAAGUGGACACUUAAGGGCUCUUUGGCAAGUCAGUUGUGUUGGAAGGCGUUUUACUUGGGCAAACACGUGAAGGAGUGUUUUCCUGAAGUGGAAACCAGUGACAGGCUAAAGUAGACUCAUGAAGGGAUGUCUCACUAAAGCAGACACAGGUGAAAGGAUGCUCUGCUAAAGCAAGCACAUGAAAGGACACGUGAUGAAGGAUUCUUCGCUAAUGACGCGCACGUAUUGGUUCGCCUUACAUUGUAUAGUUGAGCUGCAUUUGUUUGGACUCCAUAACUUCUGGUGGCGUGCUGCAGUUUCUUGCUGCUUCCGUGGUCUUAGGUUGUUUGGCAGAGUGAUGUCAGCUGAGACAGACUCAUGUGCCGAGGAAAGACACAUGGAGGACCCGUGAUGAUUGCUUGGCUUGCUGGUAUAGCUAGCCGUGCAAUGCUUGUUGGUCUCUUGUCUUCACUGAUCUUUGCUUCCCUGAGAGAGGCACAGCUGAGAAUGUCUGGCAUUCCUCUGGGUCCUUCGUGCUAACUUGAGCAGAGGCUGAGGCCUGGCUGUCUCUGCUAGGUUGUCACUGCUGUUGCUAACUGGAUUCUGCUGAGCUGAACUGCUGGUGUUAUCAGUGAAGUGCUUGCAAAGGAUCGAGCUGCUGCCGCCAGAUGACCUGUGAAUUGAACUGCUGAUUUCCAGACAACACAGACUGGAGUUGCUUCAGAGAACCUUUCUAAACAGCCAUUGGCUCUUUAUGGAUUAAUCAAAAACCAAGUGGGGACAGGAACCCUCAGUGUCUGGACAUGCAGUUUCCCAUAGGACUUUGGGAGCCGAAUUGAGAAAAAACAUUAGAACCAAUCCCUAACAACUUAUGGAAAAAAUGUUACAAUAUUAAGAAGUUGCCAGCACGGUGGGAUGAGAUGGUAGGUUGGUACGACUUAUAUGUGGGAACAGAGAGAAAACAUGAUUGUCAAAUACUAAGAAUUACUGAAGCUUGGUGGUGGGCAGGUAGGAUCCUAUUAACAGCUCUUCUUUGGGGUACAUUUGGAAACUUUCAAAGUGAGAAUUUGAAAAUUCAAAAGUUUAAAAAAGGGGUUGGGAAUUUAGCUCAGUGGUAGAGCGUUUGCCUAGCAAGCACAAGGCCCUGGGUUUGGUCCCCAGCUCCAAAAAAAAAAAAAAAAAAAAAAGAAAAGAAAAGAAAAAAGUUAAAAAAAAACCCUGCUCAAAAUGUCAUCCGAGCAUAAAACUCCAGUAGACACCUCAAACUUGACACACUCCUGGCACUGCCUUGUAAGCUCAGAACCUUACUUAGUAUUUGCCACCUCAGUUAAUAAGCACUGAUUACAUGGUUGCUGAGGACCAAACCAUGGAAGCAUCCAUGAUUUCUGUCCCACCCCACAGCAAAUCUGUCUCGUUUCUACAUCCCAAACCACUUCUCUACAUUUUUGCUGGUGUCUCUCUAGUCCACACCACCAUCAUCUCUUGUUUGAACAACCUCAGGGGCUCCUAAGACUCAACUUGCUUGUUCUUUAUAUCCCAGAAUCCUAUAAGUCAUUGUCCUUACUGUUUCUAUAGAAAUAUUUUGAGAACCAAAACUGGAUCCUACCUGAUCACUUCCUUUGAUCUGUGUGUGUGCCCCUCGCCUAUACGUGUACAUCUGGUGGUCGGGGGUCGGUGUCAGGUGUAUCACUCUCUUAAAAUGUGUUGCUAUGUAUGACGGAUGUAUGCAUAUUCUUGUGUGUGAGAACAGGUGUGUGUGUGAAUGUGGAAUGGAUGUGCACAUGUAGAAUGCAGGCAUCAGUCUUCACUUUCCCCCUUGUUUGAGACAGGGUCUUUUGCUCACUACUACACAUGUCAAGUUAGCUGGCCCGUGAGCUUCCAAGGGUUCACAUGUAUCCCCUUCUCAUCCCCCCACAGGAGUGCUAAGGUUCUAGAUGGGCAUUACCUCAUCUGGCUUUUCACGGUUUCUUCGGGACUCAAACUCUAGCACUCCUAUUUGGUGCAGCAAGUGUUUCAUCUCCUGAGCUAUCUCAACAGCACAGCAUUUCCUUUCGAGACUAGGAUCUCUCAUUAAACCAGUAGCUUGACGCUUGCCUCUACUGGUUGACCAGAAAGCCCAUGGGAUCCACCUGUGUCUAUUCCCCAAGUCCCAGAGUUACAGAUGAGUGUGGUGACACCAGGCUUCUAUGCCUGUAAUGGGUGGGAUCCGAACUCUGGUCCUUGGGCUCGCACAGCAAACACCGCCGAGUUAGCCACUUCCCUAGGCCUCAAACUGAUCUCUCCAGACUCCUUCAAGGCUGACUCUCAGGCUGUCCCUGCCUAUUUCUCUUCCACUUUCUAACUCUUCUCAAUUGUUUUUUCUAACUGUAAGAAGCAAGUCUUAGCUCAGUCAGCUCUCAGCUUACUAUCAUUACUUAAAAAAAAAAACAAAAACUCUUUACUACUCUACCCAAAGUUGAAAGUGUCAUCCUGUCAAAGCCAUCACCAAAGGUGAGUUCUCUCUCAAGAUGUGUAUUUAUUUAUAUAUUAUCCGAGACAGGUCUUGCUAUGCAGCCUAGGCUGGUCUCACAAACUUUCAUCACCCUGUCUUAGUAGCCAUCCUCUGCCUGAGUGGUGGGAAUGCAGGCUCCACUAUGCACGCGUCAGCCGUAUUUACUUGGGUGACUCCUCACCGUCUGUCACUACUCGCUGCAGAGUAAGGAUCUUGUCUCAUUCGUUCCAGAUUCACGUGCCACAGAUCACUGUUGCACUGAAAGAGUGAAUUUGCUUCCAGGACCUUUCGGUGGUGCUGAGUGAGCUCUGUCUGUUUUUUUUUUUUUUUCCUGGAAAGGGAACCUUAUCAGCCAUUUUCCUCAUCCCUCCCAGGACACCUGACGGAAACAACCUAAAGAAUGAAGAAGGGUUUGUUAUUGUUGUUUGCUGUGUGAGAGAGUACGCCGGCUGCUGCUCACAUGAUCCCAGCUGUUAGGAAGUAGAGACAAAAACACUGACUAGAACCAGGGCCAGACUGCUGCCCAGAAGGCCUGCCACCCCAGGGAUCACUUCCUCCCGUGAGGCUCCACCUUCUAAAGGUUCCAAAACCUUCCAAGCCAGCUGCCAGCUGUAACCCGAUGUUCAAACACACGAACCAAAUGGGGGUGUCGAAUGGCCAAACCAAAACACGAUUCAAGUGAAAAACUGAAAGACUACUGUUGUAACCUAGAUAGAAUGGUGCGUGCGUGCGUGCAUGUGUGUGUGUGUGUGUGUGUGUGUGUGUGUGUGCGUGCGUGCGUGUGUGUGUGUGUCGGGGGGGGGUUGGGCCUGAAGAGAAGACAGACACACGUAAAGCAGAAUCAGGUUUGACUAACUGACUGAAUGAAAAGAGACAAGGGAGGGUCUGACCCAAGAUUACACAGCUUGGGAGUGGCAGUGGUAUCACGAAUACGAACAGAGAUGGGAACGAGGAGACGCUCAUGGGUUCUAUUUUUAAUAUAGCAUGGCAGGGUGCUAACAGGGAAUUAGGUAUGAGGAAUGUGACUGGAGAGAGAGAGAGGUCACCUCUGGAGACCGCCGCUUUGGGAACUGUGUGCAUCGAAGUGCUAAUUAAACCCACAGGGCUGAUUGGAAGCUGCCAAACCAGGAAGCCCAGGGAGAGCAGAGUCUGCAUCAGACGCAAGCGGGCCAGGAGAAGAAGCUGGGAAGAAAGACUACCCAGUGCCAGAUGCAUCCCGGGCUGCUGGAUGAAGCAGAUAAAGUGCCCCCUCUACCCAAAACAAAAGCCUUUCACUCACAUAAUUCUCUGCUCUCUAAACUUCUGUUUGUUUCCACUGUAAAAGUUGUUUUCUUUCUAGUCCUUUCGUAGCCUAUUAGCUUUUUCAGUCUCAUAGUCCAGUAAUCUAAACAAACCAGCAUCAAUCAAUAAAAUACUCUACUUUCUUUCUGGGCUCCUGUACCAUGCAACACAUUCUAACACGUUCCAGUUAUGGUUUGGAUGGGGCUAGUCCUCCGAGGGCACUUAUGUAGGGAAGUUUGGUCCCUAAUGUAGCCGUGUUAGGAGCUGUGGUGUUAGCGCACACUUGUCAUCUCGGCAUUCAGAAGGAAGAGGUGGAAUGAUUAGCAGGCAAGCCUUAGAUCUACAGAGGUACGGAUGUAGCUUACUGGUAAGGCACUCGCUCGCCUAGCUCACAGCCCUUUCCCGGACAAACAAAGGCAAGCAGCCACACAACAAACAAACGAAAAACUGAACUGGGGUUGAAUUGACGGUGGUGUGGCCAUUAGGGGGUCACCUGUGGACAGGAGCAGAAUAGCGUAGUUCUUGUGGCAUCUGUAUGGGUUCCCACGACAGUGAGUUAAUACAUCCAAGUGAGACGAGCC